GACGAACCUUGCUAACGUUAUUCGGAAUUACUGGGCUUAAAGGGUGCGUAGGCGGUGCAGAAAGUUGGGUGUGAAAGCCCUCGGCUCAACCGAGGAAUUGCGCCCAAAACUGCUGCACUAGAGGAAGACAGAGGUACGCGGAACUUAGGGUGGAGCGGUGAAAUGCGUAGAGAUGUGGAGGAACACCAGUGGCGAAGGCGACUUUCUGGCUUAUAACUGACGCUGAGGCGCGAAAGCGUGGGGAGCAAACAGG
rnacentral:rRNA from 1 species